rnacentral:snRNA from 1 species
UACUUACCUGGCAGGGGAGAUACCAUGAUCACGAAGGUGGUUUUCCCAGGGCGAGGCUUAUCCACUGCACUCCGGAUGUGCUGACCCCUGCGAUUUCCCCAAAUGUGGGAAACUCAACUAUGUAAUUUGUGGUAGUGG